CUAUUACACCCAUACUACCAUCUCGAACAGAUGUGGCAAAACAGGUAGAUGAAGAGUUAGUACAACGUCUGAUUCAACAAUUAGAGCAAGUGACACAAGACGGUUUAGCAAAAGAUAGGCAAAUGGAUGAUUUGAGACAACAAAUGACAGAUCUACAGAAGGCACUGAAGGACGAGCAAUUGCAGAGAGAACAGGCAGUUGCUGGAGAAAGAAGGGAGAAAGAGCAUGCAGUUGCUAGAGAAAGACGAGAGAAAAAAAGGCAGUUGCUAGAGAGAGAAGGGAGAAAGAAGAGCUACGGCGACGAUUACAACGAGAGCAAGAAGUAAACACGACAUUCACAAUGAUUUCAAUGAAGCUCGACAAAAAAUUGAGCAAAUGAGUGUAGAGAAGGAAAAUGUUCAGCGAUUACUAAAUGAAGCACAAAUAGAAAAGCUAACAUUGUAGAGCUGCUUUCAGAUUCCGAUGCUGCAAUUGAACGAUACAAGCAAGAACGAGAAAACGAAGUUUUUAAGAUUCCUUCACGUGACAUUCGAUUGACUGGCACAGAACUAGGACGUGGAUCAUAUGGAGCUGUUUAUGUUGGAUAUUGGGAUGGGUGUCCUGUUGCUGUCAAAUGUUUGUAUGAUGAUUUUGGCUGAUGUUGAACGAUACGUUCAAUUUGUGCAACAAGAAGCGUCUGUAGCAUGGAAGAUACAUUAUCCCAACAUUGCUGGUGUUUGUGGUUUCACUCUGGAGAAAGAAGUCAAGAAGGCAUGGGUUAUCAUGGAGUUACAGAGUGUCUCUGUUUCUAGCGUGAUCGAUACAUGUCAAUGAGAUGCUGCACCUCUCACUUUACGAGAAAAAGUCGACAUGGCACAUGAUUCUUUGUGUGGACUGGAUCACAUUCACUCCAUGCAACCCAUGGAGGUUCUCCACAGUGACAUCUGCCCAAGGAACAUCCAGGUAACUGCAGCGAUGAGAGCCAAACUGGGUGAUCUAGGAGCCGCUCGUUUUCAAGAUACUAAGCUUUCAGCCGGCCUUCUCAGUCCAGAAUACACAGCAACGGAGAGAUUUGAUGCUUCAACUCUACCAAAAAGCAAGGAGACUGACAUGUGCAGUCUGGGAGUGACCCUAUGUGAGCUGUUCACUGCUGUUACUCUAGACCGCAGAAAAAGAAUUAAUUAAGUCUUACUCGUCCGUCAGCUAAAUGUCCGUUCCUUAUGUAAGCACUUGAUGAGAGAUAAUCCUGCCACACGACCAACAGCAGCUGAAGCUCGCAGAAUCAUUAGUUGUAUUCGUGAUACAGACGAAUAUACAUCAUGUCCACCUAAACGAAUGGUAAAGGGUAAGAUGGAUGGAGUGGCUGAUGUCACUCUUGUUCAUCCCAAUUGGUGAUGUUGACAUGUCAUCAAACCAUGUGGUUGUUUUAUCUUUUACUUGAUAUCAUUUCUGUGUUUGUAGAAGAGAAUUCCUUAGCAAUAGCAAUGAGCUUAGCUCUGGUUUUGCACGUUGUAUUCUCGAAUUGACCAGACAAUGUCGAAGUAGUAUUUUUCAGUAUUGAUAUUGUUAAUUGGAAGGUUUGAUGUAUACACUUUGUCUACUGCACUUAUGACCUGUUGUUCAAAUUGA